AACAUUUGCUGCAACAGCUGUGUUUGGAAUGCUUUUAGGAGAAGAUACCCGAGUCGACUUCGCUUUGCUGGGUACAGGUUCUAUCGUCAUUGGUGUUUGGCUUUGCUGUGUUACAUGAUUUUCGAUUUAUUUGGUGUUCUUACAUUAAUGUUGUCCUGUUUGAAAUAUUUCACACUUUACAAUUAAUAUAUCAAACUUUAUAUCAUAUAUAGGGGGAAUAAUGUUCAAAAUCAAUAGUUACAUUGGAUGGAAACAAUGAAAUCUGGAAUAGCAUGAAACACGGAUGCAAAAAACGAAGAACAAAAUCAAUAUGUUUAAAGAAAAAAUUAUAUUGCAGUUGAAUGCUGGUGGCACGAAAAGGAACUGAAGUUUCCGGGAUGAAUAUCCUUGCUCCAUUUUAGAACUGUGCCUUAAAACAUUCAGGUGGCAUUUGUCCAUUGAACCUCUUAGUGUCAUUGCAGUAGUUGUAGAUCAUGUAGUUGUCUCUGACCCACUUCAUUUGACCCAAUCGGGCAUCGCUCAACUUGCUAUAGGCGGGGGAUGUCCACCAGUUAGCUGGGGUGCUGGCAGCACAUUGAUUUAUGCUAACUGGUCCAUUCCACUUGCAAGCCCUUGCCCUAAAAUUGCGGUAUCUUGCUAUGAAGGGUGCCACUGUCCAAUCAAUCUUAACUCGCCCACCUUGAGUUGCCCAGUUAUCAGCAUUCCACAAGCUGGAGUAAACCCUCAUUCCCUGUUUGUUUGGGUAAGCAAUCCCCUCAUUUUCAUAGUUACGGAAUACGCGGAUUGGUACACUAUCAAUGUACCACCUGAAUUGCAGUGAUAAAUAUCAAGUUAGGUAACAUUAGGCUUCUGGAUUAUCUAGGAAUUAGAAAGCUGGUUUGGUGGAUGUAGUGAAGUAAGCUGGGAAAAUGAAAGUUUAGCAAAAGCUUCAGGAAGACUAUUUAAAUUAUGUUUGGAGAAAAAAAGUGCACAUUUUGGUACUCUACUUGGAGUGCUGUGCAGCAUAAUCUGAAUGUGGAGUCAUGCUGGUUUCUUUUCUUACCCCUUUUCUUUCCUUUUUAUAUCAUCAUCAUUAAUAAUUUUGUUUCAUGAAUAGUGAAUAUUUGAUCAUACUUCUGUAAGCCAUCGACAGAUAAGGCCAACGUUGUAGAAAAACAGAAAUGGUCAGCGAACUUACACAACUUCAGUAGGGUUCCAAUGUAUAGUGUAAUUAUGGAAAUCUGCAGUUGGGUCAAACCAGGGGCGGAAUUGCUGUUCCCUGCUUCCAUUUCCUUGAGUGUAGAUGUUUGUGUGUAUGGUGUAUGGCUGUCCUGAUGUAUUCCCUAAGAACUCGAAGUCUAUUUCGUCGUGUGUGUCCCCAGAAGAGGAUACCUGCGCAAAUUCAUCACGGAGUUUCAUUAUUUAGUAAUUUUCAUGUGUCAAUAUUCCAUUAUAAAGUUUUUUGCUUUAGGCAAUUCAUUUAAAUGCUGAUCUAUAAUUGUUGUUAAUCUUAGAGAUAUUCAAAUGAGGUAUUAAUAUGAUUGGCCGUAACUAGAUCUUCCUAUUUAGCUGUUCUUGCUCAUGUUUCUUCAUGUACCUCUUAUAAGUCUCAAUUAUGAGAGAACAAACGAAUUUUUAAAGCUUGAAAUAAUGAGCAGUGCUUAUGUUAUACAGAGCCAUGUAUGUUGGGUGAAAUUAUUGCACUUACGUAAUAGGCAGUGACAGUUCCAGCUGAGUUCCCAGGUACCAGCUUAAUUAACAUUUGAAUGCUUCCAAAUAGGAACGGACGCUUCGAUUUAACACCAGAGCCUGAAAUCCAAAGAUGAUAGAUUUACACAAAACUGAUAAUUAAUGAUUUCCAUCUACGUGAUUAGUUUACAUAAAAAACCAAUAACUGGAUGGAUAGUAAGCAAAUCAUCACCCGACGCCUGAUUCAAGACAAGUUGAAGAUCGUCGCCAUCGCCAAGUAUUGCUGAAUUAUGGGCACCCCAAUAGAAAUACAUGCUCUUGGAGAAUUUGGCAUUAACUGAACUUGGAUCAAAUGCCACUGCAAAGAUGAAUAGAGCUACCAGGAAAGCUCGUAAACUUGCCAUUUCAACACCAAUGCAGAAGUUUCUUCGAGUUUAGAAAAUCCUAGGAGUUGAAGUGGGAUGCUUUUGUCAUCGCCCUUCAAUAGCUUUAUAAAGCCUCUAACCUGCGGAUGUUCCCUGCUCAGAAAAGUUUCUGUUUGGUGAUUUUUUAUGUAGUUUCCAUGGUGGUUGGCGUUCACAUUUUGUAUUAGUUCAAAGAAAUACUGUCUAGGUGAAUGGAAGUCUGUCUAGUUAUAAGUUGUGCUCCCCAUUACCUGCGACUUGGGCAGCCAGAAUGGAAGCAUACUAUUUAUUUUUUUCUGUUCUGGUUUCAUAUUGUUUUUUAAAGGAUUUUUUAUUUGUAAAUAUAUUAAAAUAUUGAUUUUUUUAUAUUUUAAAAUUUAUUUUCAACUCAUAACGAUAUAAAAACAUUAAAAACAAGUUUAUUUAAAAAAUAAAAAUAUUAAAUUUUUAAUAAACAGCGAUUUGUCCGCAAAAAAACGCUAUAAGAUAAGACCCACAAUAGUUGCCACCUGUACAGCUAUAUUUCAGUCUGAAAAGUUCGGACAGCUAUAUAAUUUUAUUGUCUCUGUGCAUGAAGAUAUAUAUGCUUUCAAUGAUUCUGAUGGUGUCAGGAAAUGUUGAUGUCAGGAGAGAGUAUGUGAAAAUGGAGGUCAGGUAAUGGGUUGACGGACUCAGCAGCGGGGACGCGGUUGCACUAGGACCAGGCAAGCAUCGUGCGUGAGACUAAUCGGUGCGCACAAGGAGGAGAGCUGGCCAGGUCAGCCUAGCUGUGAUGUGCACGUCCACACCCAUGAGAAACGCGAAAUGCUAGUUCUAGCCUU
rnacentral:lncRNA from 1 species